GAUGAACGCUGGCGGCGUGCUUAACACAUGCAAGUCGAACGGUGAAGCAGGAGCUUGCUCUUGUGGAUCAGUGGCGAACGGGUGAGUAACACGUGAGCAACCUGCCCCUGACUCUGGGAUAAGCGCUGGAAACGGCGUCUAAUACUGGAUAUGUGAUGUGAUCGCAUGGUCUGCAUCUGGAAAGAAUUUCGGUUGGGGAUGGGCUCGCGGCCUAUCAGCUUGUUGGUGAGGUAAUGGCUCACCAAGGCGUCGACGGGUAGCCGGCCUGAGAGGGUGACCGGCCACACUGGGACUGAGACACGGCCCAGACUCCUACGGGAGGCAGCAGUGGGGAAUAUUGCACAAUGGGCGGAAGCCUGAUGCAGCAACGCCGCGUGAGGGGUGACGGCCUUCGGGUUGUAAACCUCUUUUAGCAGGGAAGAAGCGAAAGUGACGGUACCUGCAGAAAAAGCACCGGCUAACUACGUGCCAGCAGCCGCAGUAA
rnacentral:rRNA from 1 species